rnacentral:rRNA from 1 species
GACGGAGGGUGCAAGCGUUGCUCGGAUUCACUGGGCGUAAAGAGCACGUAGGCGGUUUGGUAAGUCUGAUGUGAAAGCCCUGGACUCAAUCCAGGAAGUGCAUUGGAUACUGCUAGGCUAGAAUGCAGGAGGGGUAAGCGGAAUUCCAGGUGUAGAGGUGAAAUUCGUAGAUAUCUGGAGGAACAACGGUGGCGAAGGCGGCUUACUGGACUGAUAUUGACGCUGAGGUGCGAAAGUGUGGGGAGCAAACGGG